AAAAAAGGUAAGCUACUAAGAGCGAAUGGUGGAUGCCUUGACUGGUAAAGGCGAUGAAGGACGUACUAGACUGCGAUAAGCUACGGGGAGCUGUCAAGAAGCUUUGAUCCGUAGAUUUCCGAAUGGGGCAACCCAAUGUAUAGAGAUAUACAUUACCUAUAUAGGAGCGAACGAGGGGAAUUGAAACAUCUUAGUACCCUCAGGAAAAGAAAUCAAUAGAGAUUGCGUCAGUAGCGGCGAGCGAAAGCGCAAGAGGGCAAACCCAGUGCUUGCACUGGGGGUUGUAGGACUGCAAUGUGCAAGAGGUAAGUUUAGCAGAACAUUCUGGAAAGUAUAACCAUAGAGGGUGAUAGUCCCGUAUGCGAAAAACAAACCUUAGCUAGCAGUAUCCUGAGUAGGGCGGGACACGAGGAAUCCUGUCUGAAUCCGGGUCGACCACGAUCCAACCCUAAAUACUAAUACCAGAUCGAUAGUGUACAAGUACCGUGAGGGAAAGGUGAAAAGAACUGAGGUGAUCAGAGUGAAAUAGAACCUGAAACCAUUUGCUUACAAUCAUUCAGAGCCCUAUGUAGCAAUACAGGGUGAUGGACUGCCUUUUGCAUAAUGAGCCUGCGAGUUGUGGUGUCUGGCAAGGUUAAGCAAACGCGAAGCCGUAGCGAAAGCGAGUCUGAAUAGGGCGCUUAGUCAGAUGCUGCAGACCCGAAACGAAGUGAUCUAUCCAUGAGCAAGUUGAAGCUAGUGUAAGAACUAGUGGAGGACUGAACCCAUAGGCGUUGAAAAGCCCCGGGAUGACUUGUGGAUAGGGGUGAAAGGCCAAUCAAACUUCGUGAUAGCUGGUUCUCUCCGAAAUAUAUUUAGGUAUAGCGUUGUGUCGUAAUAUAAGGGGGUAGAGCACUGAAUGGGCUAGGGCAUACACCAAUGUACCAAACCCUAUCAAACUCCGAAUACCUUAUAUGUAAUCACAGCAGUCAGGCGGCGAGUGAUAAAAUCCGUCGUCAAGAGGGAAACAACCCAGACUACCAGCUAAGGUCCCUAAAUCUUACUUAAGUGGAAAACGAUGUGAAGUUACUUAAACAACCAGGAGGUUGGCUUAGAAGCAGCCAUCCUUUAAAGAAAGCGUAAUAGCUCACUGGUCUAGUGAUUUUGCGCGGAAAAUAUAACGGGGCUAAAGU
rnacentral:rRNA from 1 species